rnacentral:snRNA from 1 species
GUGCUCACUUGGGCAGCACAUACACAUAAACUGGAAUGAUACAGAGAUUAGCAUUGGCCCCUGCACAAAGAUGACAUGCAAAUUUGUGAGGCAUUCAUAUUUUUG